rnacentral:rRNA from 1 species
GUAGUCAUAUGCUUGUCUCAAAGAUUAAGCCAUGCAUGUCUAAGUAUAAGCAAUUAUAUAGCGAAACUGCGAAUGGCUCAUUAAAUCAGUUAUCGUUUAUUUGAUAGUACCUUACUACUUGGAUAACCGUGGUGAUUCUAGAGCUAAUACAUGCUAAAAACCCCGACUCACGAAGGGGUGUAUUUAUUAGAUUAAAAGCCAAUGCCCUUCGGGGCUCACUGGUGAUUCAUAAUAACUUGUCGAAUCGCAUGGCCUUGCGCCGGCGAUGGUUCAUUCAAAUUUCUGCCCUAUCAACUUUCGACGGCUGGGUCUUGGCCAGCCAUGGUGACAACGGGUAACGGAGGGUUAGGGCUCGACCCCGGAGAACGAGCCUGAGAAACGGCUAUUACAUCCAAGGAAGGCAGCAGGCGCGCAAAUUACCCAAUACCGACUCGGUGAGGUAGUGACGAUAAAUACUGAUACAGGGCUCUUUUGGGUCUUGUAAUUGGAAUGAGUACAAUUUAAAUCCCUUAACGAGGAACAAUUGGGGGGCAAGUCUGGUGCCAGCAGCC